GAUGAACGCUGGCGGCGUGCCUAAUACAUGCAAGUCGAGCGAACAGACGAGGAGCUUGCUCCUUUGACGUUAGCGGCGGACGGGUGAGUAACACGUGGGUAACCUACCUAUAAGACUGGGAUAACUUCGGGAAACCGGAGCUAAUACCGGAUAAUAUUUCGAACCGCAGGGUUCGAUAGUGAAAGAUGGCUCUGCUAUCACUUAUAGAUGGACCUGCGCCGUAUUAGCUAGUUGGUAAGGUAACGGCUUACCAAGGCAACGAUACGUAGCCGACCUGAGAGGGUGAUCGGCCACCCUGGAACUGAGACACGGUCCAGACUCCUACGGGAGGCAGCAGUAGGGAAUCUUCCGCAAUGGGCGAAAGCCUGACGGAGCAACGCCGCGUGAGUGAUGAAGGUCUUCGGAUCGUAAAGCUCUGUUAUUAGGGAAGAACAAACGUGUAAGUAACUGUGCACGUCUUGACGGUACCUAAUCAGAAAGCCACGGCUAACUACGUG
rnacentral:rRNA from 1 species